UACGGGGGGGGGCAAGCGUUGUUCGGAAUUACUGGGCGUAAAGGGCUCGUAGGCGGCCGACUAAGUCAGACGUGAAAUCCCCCGGCUUAACCGGGGAACUGCGUCUGAUACUGGACGGCUUGAAUUCGGGAGAGGGAUGCGGAAUUCCAGGUGUAGCGGUGAAAUGCGUAGAUAUCAGGUGGAACACCGGUGGCGAAGGCGGUGGCCCUGGGCCGGAACUGACGCUGAGGAGCGAAAGCGUGGGGAGCAAACAGG
rnacentral:rRNA from 1 species